rnacentral:rRNA from 1 species
UACGAAGGGGGCUAGCGUUGUUCGGAAUUACUGGGCGUAAAGCGUGCGCAGGCGGUUCGUUGUGUCGGCGGUGAAAGCCCCGGGCUUAACCUGGGAAUGGCCGUUGAAACUGGCGAACUGGAGUGUGGCAGAGGGGGGUGGAAUUCCGCGUGUAGCAGUGAAAUGCGUAGAGAUGCGGAGGAACACCGAUGGCGAAGGCAGCCCCCUGGGCUGACACUGACGCUCAGGCACGAAAGCGUGGGGAGCAAACAGG